rnacentral:rRNA from 1 species
UACAGAGGGCGCGAGCGUUGUCCGGAAUCAUUGGGCGUAAAGCGCGCGUAGGUGGCCAUGUAAGUCCGCUGUGAAAGUCAAAGGCUCAACCUUUGAAAGCCGGUGGAUACUGCAUGGCUAGAGUACGGAAGAGGCGAGUGGAAUUCCUGGUGUAGCGGUGGAAUGCGCAGAUAUCAGGAGGAACACCAAUAGCGAAGGCAGCUCGCUGGGACGUUACUGACACUGAGGCGCGAAAGCGUGGGGAGCGAACAGG